AAGGGUUGAGAGUCCCUUGACUAGUCAACCAGUUACGUCUACACCAUUAACAUCUAGACCACAAGAACUUCACUUUAGACCAAGGCCAACUCCACCAAGUCUUAGCAGCUCUUCUGAUGAAAGUGAGGAUUAUGCUGUUAAUUUCAGAAAGUGAUGUUUAUAAUGGGAUGUGGAUCCUAUGAUUGUUAUAUAUACAGAAAUAACUGUUUCAGCUUAGUAGUGCCCUAGUAAGAUCUACAUAUGGAUGUAUUCAUGGUUAUGGGAUCUGCAGAAGUUAUUUUACCAUUAUCACUGAAAGCA